rnacentral:misc_RNA from 1 species
AAGUCGUAACAAGGUUUCCGUAGGUGAACCUGCGGAAGGAUCAUUAUUGAAUAAACCAUGGCGGGCAGUCUUGCUGGCCUUUUCCCUCCUCCAGGGAGGAGAGAGGGCAUGUGCACGCUCGUCAAAAGUUUCAUUCGCAUACCCCUUUCCACCUGUGCACAACACUGUAGGUCCCGUUAGAAGGGGGGGAGCCUUGGGCCCUCCCCUUUUUCGGACCUACGUUUUACAACCCUACCCCCUCGAAUAUGAUACGAACGUAGUGACUUGGGCCAUCGCGCCUAAUAAAACAUAAUACAACUUUCAACAACGGAUCUCUUGGCUCUC